GAUGAACGCUGGCGGCGUGCCUAAUACAUGCAAGUCGAGCGAACGGACGAGAAGCUUGCUUCUCUGAUGUUAGCGGCGGACGGGUGAGUAAAACGUGGAUAACAUACCUAUAAGACUGGGAUAACUUCGGGAAACCGGAGCUCAUACCGGAUGAUAUUUUGAACUGCAUGGUUCAAAAGUGAAAGACGGUCUUGCUGUCACUUAUAGAUGGAUCCGCGCUGCAUUAGCUAGUUGGUAAGGUAACGGCUUACCAAGGCAACGAUGCAUAGCCGACCUGAGAGGGUGAUCGGCCACACUGGAACUGAGACACGGUCCAGACUCCUACGGGAGGCAGCAGUAGGGAAUCUUCCGCAAUGGGCGAAAGCCUGACGGAGCAACGCCGCGUGAGUGAUGAAGGUCUUCGGAUCGUAAAACUCUGUUAUUAGGGAAGAACAUAUGUGUAAGUAACUGUGCACAUCUUGACGGUACCUAAUCAGAAAGCCACGGCUAACUACGUG
rnacentral:rRNA from 1 species